rnacentral:rRNA from 1 species
GGAAUCUUCCACAAUGGACGAAAGUCUGAUGGAGCAACGCCGCGUGAGUGAAGAAGGUUUUAGGAUCGUAAAACUCUGUUGUUGGAGAAGAACAGGGACUAGAGUAACUGUUAGUCCUUUGACGGUAUCCAACCAGAAAGCCACGGCUAACUACGUGCCAGCAGCCGCGGUAAUACGUAGGUGGCAAGCGUUGUCCGGAUUUAUUGGGCGUAAAGCGAGCGCAGGCGGUUUGAUAAGUCUGAUGUGAAAGCCUUUGGCUUAACCAAAGAAGUGCAUCGGAAACUGUCAGACUUGAGUGCAGAAGAGGACAGUGGAACUCCAUGUGUAGCGGUGGAAUGCGUAGAUAUAUGGAAGAACACCAGUGGCGAAGGCGGCUGUCUGGUCUGCAACUGACGCUGAGGCUCGAAAGCAUGGGUAGCGAACA